GACGAACGCUGGCGGCGUGCUUAACACAUGCAAGUCGAACGGAAAGGCCCUGCUUUUGUGGGGUGCUCGAGUGGCGAACGGGUGCGUAACACGUGAGUAACCUGCCCUUGACUUUGGGAUAUCUUCAGGAAACUGGGGCUAAUACCGGAUAGGAGCUCCUGCUGCAUGGUGGGGGUUGGAACGUUUCGGCGGUUGGGGAUGGACUCGCGGCUUAUCAGCUUGUUGGUGGGGUAGUGGCUUACCAAGGCUUUGACGGGUAGCCGGCCUGGGAGGGUGACCGGGGACAUGGGGACUGAGAUACGGAGCAGACGGCAACGGGAGGCAGCAGUGGGGAAGAUUGCACAAUGGGCGGAAGCCUGAUGCAGAAAAGCGGCGUGCGGGAUGACGGCCUUCGGGUUGUAAACCGCUUUCGACUGUGACGAAGCGUGAGUGACGGUAAUGGGUAAAGAAGCACCGGCUAACUACGUG
rnacentral:rRNA from 1 species